AGCAGUAAAAAACGAAAGUAGACGGUUGCUGUGGUGGAGACUCGGUCCCUCCAAGGUGCAGAGAGAGGCGUUUGAACUCCGGGUGAUCUGCCUUCAAACUGCUCUAGGGACACAGUUUUCAGGGAUUGUCACCCGUGUGGUAGGCUCUCUGGUCAUGCAACUGCGUCGGGUCAUCCGUGCUCCUUGGGAGGUGACUCUUGGACUGUGAAGGCUUCUAUUAGGAGCUGUUAUCUUCCCACGGAGGAUGAAAAAGGGCCUUCCAGCUGAAAGUCCUGAGAAAGGAUCUACGAGAUGAAAAUGUGAGGGGGGAAAGAAGGAAUUUCCUCCCUCCUGUGCCAAUGUGCUUUCAGAUGUGGAGGGGACUCAGGUUGGUUAUGAAAUCAUUCACUCUGGUGAGCCAGCAUGUUGCCUUUUAUGGAUGCUACAGCCUAGACUGCUGUACCGGGAGUGAUUUUCCAUCAUGUUCUCUAUAGAGUUCACAGCAAAGCCAAAAAUAAUAUAAGAUAUUCAAACCAA